rnacentral:rRNA from 1 species
AGGAUGAACGCUGGCGGUCUGCUUAACACAUGCAAGUCGAACGGAGUACCUCGGUACUUAGUGGCGGACGGGUGAGUAACGCGUGAGAAUCUGCCCUUAGGUCGGGGACAACCAUUGGAAACGAUGGCUAAUACCGGAUAAGCCGAGAGGUAAAAGAUUAAUUGCCUAGGGAAGAGCUCGCGUCUGAUUAGCUAGUUGGUGAGGUAAAGGCUCACCAAGGCAUCGAUCAGUGGCUGGUCUGAGAGGAUGAUCGGCCACACUGGGACUGAGACACGGCCCAGACUCCUACGGGAGGCAGCAGUGGGGAAUUUUCCGCAAUGGGCGAAAGCCUGACGGAGCAAGACCGCGUGAGGGAGGAAGGCUCUUGGGUUGUAAACCUCUUUUCUUGGGGAAGAACAAAAUGACGGUACCCAAGGAAUCAGCAUCGGCUAACUCCGUGCCAGCAGCCGC